rnacentral:rRNA from 1 species
UACGUAGGGUGCGAGCGUUGUCCGGAAUUAUUGGGCGUAAAGAGCGCGCAGGCGGUCUGCCAAGUCAGAUGUGAAAUAUCCCGGCUUAACCGGGAGGGGUCAUUUGAAACUGGUAGACUAGAGUACAGCAGAGGAUAGCGGAAUUCCCGGUGUAGUGGUGAAAUGCGUAGAUAUCGGGAGGAACACCAGUGGCGAAGGCGGCUAUCUGGGCUGAAACUGACGCUGAGGCGCGAAGGCUAGGGGAGCAAACAGG